GCCGGGCGUGGUGGCGCGCGCCUGUAGUCCCAGCUACUCGGGAGGCUGAGCUCGCCGGAUCGCUUGAGCCCAGGAGUUCUGGGCUGCAGUGCGCUAUGCCGAGCGGGCGUCCGCGCUAAGGCCGGCAUCAAUAUGGUGAGCCCCGGGGAGCUGGGGCACACCAGGUUGACUAAGGAGGGGUGAACCGGCCCAGGUCGGAGACGGAGCAGGUCAAAGCUCCCGUGCCGGUCAGUAGCGGGAUCGCGCCUGUGAAUAGCCACUGCAGCGUAGCCUGGGCAACAUAGAGAGACGCGGGUUCCU
rnacentral:SRP_RNA from 1 species